rnacentral:misc_RNA from 1 species
CUACCAUAACCCCCACCACUUGAAAGAACAGCAGAAUCACCAAGAUCUAAUGUAUGCAAAAACAAAAGUAUAGUUCCUCCAGAACCACCCCCAGGUCCUCUACUGGUAUCAUUUCUAACAUUGAACUCUCCCUGUUUGACAAUUCCUAGGAAACCUUCUCCAUCAGCCCUCACUGAACCUUGAACAGACAAACUUGACAAGGGAUGCUCCA